rnacentral:rRNA from 1 species
UACGUAGGGGGCUAGCGUUGUCCGGAAUCAUUGGGCGUAAAGAGCGUGUAGGCGGCUUGGUAAGUCCGCUGUGAAAGUCCAGGGCUCAACCCUGGAAUGCCAGUGGAUACUGUCAAGCUAGAGUCCGGAAGAGGCGAGUGGAAUUCCUGGUGUAGCGGUGGAAUGCGUAGAGAUCCGGAAGAACACCGGUGGCGAAGGCGGCCUGCUGGGCAGUGGCUGACGCUGAGGCGCGACAGCGUGGGGAGCAAACAGG